rnacentral:ncRNA from 1 species
GUACGAAAAAGGCAAAAUCACUGAAAAGUGAUGACGCAAAGCUAUAGGGACUAAAUUGGCAUGAAGUCUAGUGUCCAAAAUGUUAGCCAGCUACCGCC